ensembl:lincRNA
UGGGCUGCCAGCACCUGAAAUAAAUUUCUCCAUUUCUCUUUUCCAAGCCCUCAUCUCUUGAGUUACUGGCUUCUCUUGCAACAAAUUUAUCUGAAUUUGCUCAGCAACAGUUGACAAACCCAGCCAGGAGCUAUGCUUUCCAUUUGCCCAGAGAACCUUCUGGAUUUCCUGGAACGGAGCCGUUGGCCAGGGUAGUGUGCCGGGAGUCACACAUUGGUUUCCCGAGUCAGCAGCUGGGAUGGAUCCGUCAGCAAUGGAAAAGAGGAGGUUAAAUAGUCCACACAGGAGGCUGAGUAUACAGUACCAGAGCCAUUGGAAGAAACUAGGAGAAGGUGGAGUCACAGAUGCUAAGAAAAUAAUAUCAAGAAACUCGGGAGUGACCAACGGUAUCCAGUGCCACAAGAAAAUCAAGAUGAGAGAAAAUUAUCUUUUGAGGUGGAGAAGGCUUACAUUUUAAUUGAAGCACCGUGUUGUUACCCGACGCUCAGUAAGCCUGUGUCUGAGACACCGGUUUUGAAACAAAAGAAGCAGCCCUAGGAGCCUUGGUGGCUCAGUCAGUUAAGUGUCUGCCUUCCUCUGAGGUCAUGGUCUCAGGGUCCUGGGAUAAUGUUAGGUCGGCGGGCUCUGGGAGUGCAGGAGGAACAAUAGAAAUGACCGCCGGUCCCGCCAUCUUCCAGCCUCCUCCCCUGCUUUCCUUCACCCUUGACUCUCCCGCCAAAAGGAUGUAUGCCCAGGUCACGCCUCCAUAGGUAACCCGAUACCUAUGCAGGAAACAGAUAAAAGACUCCCACCAACUCCCUCCCAGUGCGACUUCCCCCACUCUGCUUUCCAGAGUCUGGGGAACCUCGCCUGGCACCUCCUCCCAGAGCAACUUUCCUGGCUCCCCUUCUCCUGAGCCCUGAAACUUCAUGGGAGAGUGUCUUUAAUAAAUCUUGCCUUGCACCCACUUCGCCUGGUGUUGUGUUUAUCUCACCUGUAAAACCUUACAGAUAGAGCCCUGCAUCAGGCCCCCUGCUCGGUGGGGAGUCUGCUUCUCCCUCUCCCUCUGCUGCUCUCUCUCUCAAGUAAAUAAAUAAAAAAAUCUUAAAAAAAAAGAAAAAGAAAAAAGAAAGGCAGCCCAGGAAGAAGGCAGGGGAUUAUUCCCAAAGCUGCCUUGCUUACGUUGAGCCUAGGGACAGAUUAUAUAUGUUUGGGGAAGGAAAUGAGUUCGUGAGAGGAGGGUGCAGUGUUUCUUGAAACCUUCAGGGAGGGUGGCUUGAAGCAGUUUGGAGGUGUGCAUUCUUUCAGACAAUGAGGAGCCAUUUGGGACCUGGUACGAUUAGGUAUGUCAGAUAAUUCAAGACAAAUGUUACUGUUUGGUCCCCUUUAGGUUUCUACAAUCAGUGGGUGAGCAGGAAGUUGCAGGAAGUUGGAGUGGAAAAAGCAAAGUUAAUGAUUAAUAAGAUGUGCAUAAAACUGUAAUUAAGUAGGGAAAAAACAGAACGUGGAGCGAAGUGAAUAAUGCAACUAAUACAACUAGAGUUGUACUCAUGCUUUGAAAACAGGUCUAGGAACCAAGCAUCUGGCCUCACCUCCUGCUUAUAUUCUUCUGCCUGGUCUAGUGGCUCUACCGGAAAUUUCUACGUGUUUACUUUGUGCCUUCAGAUACUCAAAGUUCAUGUGCAGCUGCAUAUUUAGAUCUAUUGAUUAACUUGGCAGUAUUUGGUAACGAGCAGGAUGACUGGGUUGAUUCUCCAACAGGUCACCCGCUUUAAUGCAAAGCUAGUCUGAUAAUAAGCGCGGUCCUGUCACUCAGAGCUAGGAGAUAACAGAAAGUAUGUACAGAUCUCCCACAACUUACUGUUACUGAUCUAUCAUAGCUGCUAACCUAGAACAUGAAUAGGGAAGCCCUGGCCAGCUGCUGUGACAGCCCCUCAGUCCCAGCGAAUGCCCUGGGGGCUGGAAAGCUUAGCUCCUGGCUGGGAUUGCCAACACUCUUGCUGAAAAACUUGAAUAAACUAACUGGUCACCAGAGAAGCUGAUCACUCGAGAGGCUGGGGUUUAGAAAAGAGAAAGGGAGAAAUUUAUUUCAGGUGCUGGCAGCCUGGGCAGGUGGCAGGCUCAAGCCUUAAUAAUCAACUUUUUUGCCUUCCAGAUGGACACCUUAAGUUCUACAGGGAGAGGUUCAGGGGGGUAUACGCAUACUUCAGUAUGACCAGUGUCUUUAUAAAAUGGGGAAAUCUAGGUACAGAGACAUACACAGAGGGUGUCAUAUAAAUGAGACACAGGGAGAAGAUAGCCACCUACACGUCAAGGAGGGAUAUAUGGAACAGAUCCUUCCCUCACAGCCCUUAGAAGAAACCUAUGCUAACACCUUGAUUUCAAAUCUCUAGCCUCCAAACAAUGACUUUCUGUCAUUUAAGCCACCCAGUUUCGGGUACUUUGUUUGGCAGUCCUACAAAACUAAUAUAAGUGGUUUUCAGGGUAGGAGGUGAGGCAAGGGUUAACUACAGUGGGUCACAAAGGAACUUUUUGAGGUGAUGGAAAUGCUCUAUGUCUUGAUUGUGAUGGUUACAUGAUUGAUGGAAUGUGUUUGUCAGAAAUCACAGAACUCCAUGCUAAAAAGGGAAAAUAUUAUUCCUUGUAGAAUUAUACCUCUAGGAACCUGACUUGAAUAUAUUAACAGAAAAACUAGAUUAAAAAAUUUACUUUUAAAAAUUAAAAAUUAGAAAAGUGACCCAAGAUGUAUGUAUGUAUAUUAACAUUGAUCAUAAUAACAACACAGCAGAAGAAAACACUGUGUCCCAAUAUUAGAUUCUUUGAGCAUUAGAGUUACCCUUUCCAGAAACAAGAUUCUUUCCCUGAUGGACCUUACAUUUUAGCAGAUGAGACAGCC